rfam:Brassica napus, WGS project CCCW01000000 data, contig: 16760
GGAAUAUCAAAAACUGUCUAUUAACUCUUAGUUAAAAAUGCUAAGAACCGAUUCUUAAAUAAGAUAUUUAAAAGUCGGUUUUUAGCAUUUUUAGUUAAAAGUAAAGAGACAGUUUCUUAUAUUCU